UCAUAACAAGUACAUCCGGGAAACCCAUCAGACUGGUGGUGGGCCACCACCAGCCCCACCAAAACCAGCUGAUGAGGUAACGCUGGUCGUACAGCUGAUCCUCAAUAAUAGGCUGCCAGUACCUGACGACAUCUUUGAUAGUGAAUUUGUAGAAGCAUGCGUACUGGCCCGACUCAAUUCCACAGCACUGGAAUGUGCUGACACACCUGAAGCUGCAGGACAGCAGCCAGCACAAGAUCUGGUCUUGGACAACCCUGGCAGUCCACUUAUCAUCAGGAGUGAGGACUGUGGAGUCAAAUGGUGGAGUCUUGUAAGCUGCAUGAUACCACACUGACUCAGGGAUUGCUGAAGUGGAUGCUGAAUAUUCAGUGAGAGAUUGUGUAAAGUAAGUGGUCUUGCAGAGCACCAAGGAAUGCAUGGCAAGGAACCAGAUCAGAGUGAAACAAAAUAAAAAGAUACAAGAU